GUGCCAGCAGCCGCGGUAAUACGUAGGGUGCGAGCGUUAAUCGGAAUUACUGGGCGUAAAGCGUGCGCAGGCGGUUAUAUAAGACAGUUGCGAAAUCCCCGGGCUUAACCUGGGAAUGGCGCUUGUGACUGCACGACUGGAGUGCGGCAGAGGGGGAUGGAAUUCCGCGUGUAGCAGUGAAAUGCGUAGAUAUGCGGAGGAACACCGAUGGCGAAGGCAGUCCCCUGGGCCUGCACUGACGCUCAUGCACGAAAGCGUGGGGAGCAAACAGGAUUAGAUACC
rnacentral:rRNA from 1 species